rnacentral:rRNA from 1 species
UACAGAGGUGCCAAGCGUUAGGCGGAAUCACUGGGUUUAAAGGGUGCGUAGGCGGAAUGAUAAGUCAGUGGUGAAAUCCUUCAGCUUAACUGGAGAACUGCCAUUGAUACUGUCAAUCUUGAGUACAUUUGAUGUGGGCGGAAUGUGUCAUGUAGCGGUGAAAUGCUUAGAUAUGACACAGAACACCGAUUGCGAAGGCAGCUCACAAACUGUAACUGACGCUGAGGCACGAAAGCGUGGGUAUCAAACAGG